rnacentral:rRNA from 1 species
CGCGGUAAUACGUAGGUGGCAAGCGUUAUCCGGAAUUAUUGGGCGUAAAGCGCGCGUAGGCGGUUUUUUAAGUCUGAUGUGAAAGCCCACGGCUCAACCGUGGAGGGUCAUUGGAAACUGGAAAACUUGAGUGCAGAAGAGGAAAGUGGAAUUCCAUGUGUAGCGGUGAAAUGCGCAGAGAUAUGGAGGAACACCAGUGGCGAAGGCGACUUUCUGGUCUGUAACUGACGCUGAUGUGCGAAAGCGUGGGGAUCAAACAGGA